rnacentral:rRNA from 1 species
UACUCUUGACAUCCUGCGAACUUUCGAGAGAUCAAUUGGUGCCUUCUCGAACGCACAGACAGGUGCUGCAUGGCUGUCGUCAGCUCGUGUUGUGAAAUGUUGGGUUAAGUCCCGUAACGAGCGCAACCCUUGUCCUUAGUUGCCAUCAUUUAGUUGGGGACUCUAACGAGACUGCCGGUGACAAACCGGAGGAAGGCGGGGACGACGUCAAGUCAUCAUGCCCCUUACGAGUAGGGCUACACACGUGCUACAAUGGCCGGUACAGAGGGUCGCGAAGCCGCGAGGUGGAGCUAAUCUCACAAAGCCGGUCGUAGUCCGGAUUGGAGUCUGCAACUCGACUCCAUGAAGUCGGAAUCGCUAGUAAUCGUGAAUCAGAAUGUCACGGUGAAUACGUUCCCGGGCCU